rnacentral:rRNA from 1 species
UUCCUCCUCCGGAACACCACACCACAGCCCAGCCUCCACUCCACGCCUCACCUCGCUCCCUCGCCACGACUCUCCGCCAGCCAAUGUCGGCUCCCGCCCACGCGAUACGCCGCACAGCCCGCCCCGUCUCCUCGUGAGAUCGCCGCGCCGCUCCUCCCUGCUCCCUCCGCCACGCGCCGCCCGCCCGCUCCCUCCAAUCGCGCGCCCUCGCGCCCGCAUCUCGCGCCUCGCCGGUCCGUGGCCCCGACGUUCCUCGACGCCUCCCGGCGCCCUUUUCCGCGCGGAAUCCGAGUGCCCCGUGCGCCCUUCGCCGUCCGCGGGAUCCGCGAGGCCGCGAGAGGUACCACCGUUCGGGGGGCGCGGACAAUGGCGGCAGCGGCGCCACCGCUCUGCGCGUGGCUCGUCGCCGCGGGCGCGCACGCGGACUUCGGGGCGGACGAGCACCGCCAGACGCAGUGCCUCGACGCCGGCUCCGGCGCGACGUUCGGCCUCGACCGCCGCCCCCUCGGGGUGCGGCGCCGUGGGUCCGCGCGCUCUGGAAUGGCCGUGUCUGUUGCCUUGCAGCCUGAAAGGGUAAUUGUCGAGAAGAAGAGACCUGAUGUUAAACAAAGGAGAGUGGUCGUCACGGGCAUGGGUGUAGUGACGCCACUGGGUCAUGAUCCUGAUGUGUUUUACAACAACCUUCUUGACGGUCAUAGUGGAAUAAGCGAGAUUGAGACGUUUGACUGCUCCAAGUUCCCCACGAGAAUUGCAGGAGAGAUCAAAUCCUUCUCUACUGAAGGUUGGGUUGUACCCAAGCUAUCUAAGCGAAUGGACAAGUUCAUGCUGUAUUUGAUAACUGCUGGUAAGAAAGCAUUGGAAAACGGUGGGCUCACCGAAGAAGUCAGGAAUGACUUGGAUAAAACCAGAUGUGGGGUUCUCAUUGGCUCUGCGAUGGGCGGCAUGAAGGUAUUUAAUGACGCGAUUGAAGCGCUAAGGGUUUCUUACAGGAAAAUGAACCCGUUUUGUGUUCCCUUUGCUACUACUAAUAUGGGUUCUGCAAUACUUGCAAUGGAUCUGGGCUGGAUGGGGCCAAAUUACUCUAUUUCCACUGCAUGUGCCACCAGUAAUUUUUGUAUCCUCAACGCAGCAAACCAUAUCAGAAGAGGGGAAGCUGAUGUCAUGCUUUGUGGUGGUUCUGAUGCGCCACUCAUCCCAAUUGGAUUGGGAGGUUUUGUUGCCUGCAGAGCUCUUUCACAGAGGAACAGUGACCCAACAAAAGCUUCCCGGCCCUGGGAUAUGGACCGUGAUGGUUUUGUUAUGGGAGAAGGGGCAGGUGUGCUAGUAUUGGAAGAACUUGAGCAUGCUAAGCAAAGAGGUGCAACAAUAUAUGCUGAAUUUCUUGGUGGAAGCUUCACAUGCGAUGCUUACCAUAUGACUGAGCCGCAUCCUGAAGGAACGGGGAUCACUCUCUGCAUUGAGAAGGCACUGGCUGAUUCAGGGGUAGCAAGGGAAGAGAUUAACUAUGUGAAUGCGCAUGCAACAUCUACACAAUCAGGCGAUUUGAAGGAGUAUGAAGCGAUCGUUCGUUGCUUCGGCCAGAACCCUCAGCUAAGGGUGAACUCAACAAAAUCAAUGACCGGGCAUCUUAUAGGAGCAGCUGGUGGAAUAGAAGCUGUUGCUUGUAUACAAGCUAUAAGAACUGGUUGGGUCCAUCCAAAUCUGAAUUUGGAGAACCCAGAAAAAGUAGUGGAUGUGGGCGUUUUAGUUGGAGCAGAGAAGGAGAGGUGCGAAGUAAAGGUGGCGCUGUCAAACUCAUUUGGAUUCGGUGGGCAUAACUCAUCAAUUCUGUUUGCCCCCUUCAAGUAAACCUGGGAUGGUGAUGCUUACUUCCUCGUUGUCCGAUUAUGGAAUGGAACUGGAACUGGAACUGGAACUGCAUAUACAAGACUAGUGGAGUAGCUAGGCGGCUUCUUUGAAUAUUACAUGGAGGUCUGAGCUAAGAAGAUCAUCGUAUUACUUACAGUCGAGCUAAGAGAGCCUCCGAGCCCCCAGCCAUGUUCAUAUUUGUCGCCAUCGCAUCGCAGGCACAUCCCCUGUCAAGGGUCCAGUCUUCCUUUCGCAAGUGAAGAAUCAUGUGGUGUAGCCUAUGGCCUAUGUUUAUUGUUAUUCAGUACAGUAAUGUUGGAUAAACCAUGAUUCGCCCUUUCUGGGCCUGCUAUUUUUCAACUCGCCGUCUGCCCCUCAUGAGUGCUCUUUCCUAGGUUUGGUGACGAGAGACCCUUGCAGAGGUGCUGCUGCUGGGAUUUGCUGUUGUAUUCAUGUUCUAGUAACCGUGGUUCGUGUAAGCAUGUCUGAACUUGGCAGCACUGCUCCUCCCUUCGUUGAUUUAUAGUAUACUUAUUCUCCAUGUGAGAUUUCCUGUUAACUGAAUUAAAGUCGUUGUAAUCAUGGUAUUGCUUGAUUUUCUUCCCAAAUUUUUUGGGCAAACAUUGCCCGAAACUGUCCUGUAAAAGAAGCUCAGGCACAUUGAAACAG